AGUGAACGCUGGCGGUAGGCCUAACACAUGCAAGUCGAACGGCAGCACAGUAAGAGCUUGCUCUUACGGGUGGCGAGUGGCGGACGGGUGAGGAAUACAUCGGAAUCUACUUUUUCGUGGGGGAUAACGUAGGGAAACUUACGCUAAUACCGCAUACGACCUACGGGUGAAAGCAGGGGAUCUUCGGACCUUGCGCGAUUGAAUGAGCCGAUGUCGGAUUAGCUAGUUGGCGGGGUAAAGGCCCACCAAGGCGACGAUCCGUAGCUGGUCUGAGAGGAUGAUCAGCCACACUGGAACUGAGACACGGUCCAGACUCCUACGGGAGGCAGCAGUGGGGAAUAUUGGACAAUGGGCGCAAGCCUGAUCCAGCCAUACCGCGUGGGUGAAGAAGGCCUUCGGGUUGUAAAGCCCUUUUGUUGGGAAAGAAAGGCAGCAGGCUAAUACCCCGCUGUUCUGACGGUACCCAAAGAAUAAGCACCGGCUAACUUCGUG
rnacentral:rRNA from 1 species